rnacentral:lncRNA from 1 species
UUGUUAACAAUUUCAUUCACAUGCCAUCUACUGCUUGGUUGAUCAUUGCAUUCAUUCUUUAUAACUGCAUACUAUAAUCAUAACAAUAACUAUGAUUCAAUUCCAGAUAAGUUGCGGCCGGUGAUAUGAAACCUAAGCAAUAACAAUGACUAUUUUGAAACAAUGAGAAUAAACCUUUAUGAUAUUAACAAUGUUAGGGUCAUUUUUGACAUAUACAUGAUACAACAUACUAUAAUAAAAAAAG